GCGCAUGUGCAUUCCGUUGGUUCCUGUUCUUAGAGCAGGUGAAAAGGGAAUGCGAUAAGGAUUGCGACAUAUCUGAAACGCAGCCGCCCCCGCGACCGUGACCGGAGAGGGUCUGGACGCCACUGGCCAAGUGCCGGGAAGGCCCAGAUUCACCAGAGAUGAUUUGAUCAUCUCUGAUAUCCGUAAGCCGGGAGACCUGCCAGCAAGGAAAGACAUGU
rnacentral:ncRNA from 2 species